AAAAAGAGAGUGGCAGUGGACUUUGUGAUAUUCUUAUACACAAAGCGGUGUGAUCCUGUUUGAAGGUAGACUGAGAGGUCAAUGUAUGCAGUGUAAACGUCAAACCAUCAUGCACGUCAGGACAAAAUGUAACCUUACAGUUAAUAAGACAACGGGACUCAUAGAAAGGAAACUGGGCACCACAGUUAAAAAGUGAAGAAGCAGACAGAUGAGACAGAAAAAGUUACAAGGUCCCAGAUUUAAAUCUAACUAAGUCAGUGAGUAAAUCAUCGUAACACCACAAACACUGGUACACACUGUGUGGUACACACUGUGUCUCCAAGAAGACCAGUUAAUUACAAGCCAGAGACGGGCAGAGAGAAAAGGACAGGAAGGGAUCAGCCAUGGGAACAAGCGUGGGCAUUAAGGCAGAGUGAAUGUUAGCAGAGUUGAACAGGGCGUUUCGUAUUACAAACGAGCUGAUCCACAAGGAGAACACUGACGCACCAACUAACAGAGCUUCAGGGUAGUAAGGGAAAAGCUGCCAGACCUGGAAGAACCAGGGAAAAGCUGCCAGACCUGGAAGAACCACUCGAAAAUGUUUUCAAUAAUUUACACAACAGUUUGAAGAGAAAAUCGGCAACAGUGUGGAGAAUUUGCACAAUACUUCCAACAAAUCGGGAUGGAAGCUUUGACUUAACUGUGUCUGCUGUCCUCUUCAUUCGGCUGAGUUCGUCCUAAGUCACACCGACCUGCAUUUCAUGAGCGACUAGACCACUAGUCAUACAACAAUACCAACCUCCUUUGGAUCCUGGCCAGGGCUGUGUGGAUUCUCUCCCUGUACCGCUUGCACUUCUCCUUGGUGAUGUUGACGUGGAUCAAGCUCCCAUCCUUCCAGGGGACGUGGAUGAAUCUGUUGCAGUAUUUGGCAUGGAUAGUCUUCUUAUUGGUGUCCUGAGGGAAGGACAAAGUUGGGGGCUAGAGCGGGUCCUUAGAAACUCCCUUUGCUAAAACCAAAUAAAGACGACGCCUUGCUUGGGCUCCCAAGGUAACUAAAAACGGAAUAAAAUCUGCACAUCUCUGCCUCCA
rnacentral:sRNA from 1 species